rnacentral:rRNA from 1 species
AACGAACGCUGGCGGCAGGCUUAACACAUGCAAGUCGAGCGGCAGCGCGAGUAGUUUACUACUUGGCGGCGAGCGGCGGACGGCUGAGUAACGCGUGGGAACGUGCCCCAAAGUGAGGAAUAACUGCCCGAAAGGGUGGCUAAUGCCGCAUAUGAUCUUCGGAUUAAAGGAUUUAUCCGCUUUGGGAGCGGCCCGCGUCGGAUUAGGUUGUUGGUGAGGUAAUGGCUCACCAAGCCGACGAUCCGUAGCUGGUCUGAGAGGAUGAUCAGCCAGACUGGGACUGAGACACGGCCCAGACUCCUACGGGAGGCAGCAGUGAGGAAUCUUCCACAAUGGGCGAAAGCCUGAUGGAGCAACGCCGCGUGAAGGAUGAAGGCCCUCGGGUUGUAAACUUCUUUUAUAAGUGAAGAAUAUGACGGUAACUUAUGAAUAAGCACCGGCUAACUACGUGCCAGCCGCCGCAGUAAGAC